GAAACAUUUGGAGCUGGAAAGAUUGCUUAGCAGUUGAGAGCACUUGGAUGUGCUUCCAGAGGUCCUAGGUUCGAUUCCCAACAUCUACUUGGCAGACUGUAAUUACAGCUCCAGGGGAUCCGACACCCUCUUUUGACUUCCUUUGAUAUGCAUGUGGUGAACAGGUAUACAUACAGGGUCUUACUACAUAACCCUGGCUGGCUUCAAACUUAAUUAACCUUUUGCUUCCGUUUCCUGAGUCCUGGAAUUACAGUUAUGUGCCACCAUACCUGGCUGAGAGUUAAUUUGACUCAACUUUUAUUUGAAGGUUUUUGUUCAGACAUUUACAACGUUGUUCAGGCUUGUCUUGAACCUCUCUCCACAUCUCAAGUGCUGGGAAGUAUAGGGCCUGACAAUUCUUGAUGCCAGCACCACAGUUCUUUGUUGCUAGAUGUUUUUUGGUUGCUCCUCCUUUCUCUUAUCUAAGGGUCUAAAUAGUCCUUUUCUGCAAGUGCUUAUGGUAGCUGGAAGACCAACCAGAUGGACAAACUUUUUAAAUAUUGGGAAUUCAAGCAAGGUGCUGUUUCGCGCGCGUCCGGCUCGGGAGCCGUUGGUGGUGGUGACCUGUCGGGGGACACGGACACACACACCGGAAAGCAAGUACACAAAUGGUGGGCUAAGGUAGGCACCGGUCUCAUUUUAGUGGCUUUAAUGAGACACACCACUACAGUGGGCCUUCGGUUCUGUGUAGGAACUUGGCAACUUUCGGACUGAUGCCCCUAAGACCAUUUUCCCUCACAGAAAAAAGUGCGGAGUGGGGCCGAGAGUGUAGCUGAGGCCUUGGGUUUACUGCGAAGGUCUUGAGAAGUUCGUGAGGAACUGGGGUGCGGGGCGGGACACGGACAACCAUUAGACGACGGAGUGAGGUGAUUUUGAGAGUCGUGAGGAUGCGGGGACUGAGAAGGUUGAUGGCCGACUGUUAGACGACGGAGUGAGGUGAUUUUGAGAGUCGUGAGGAUGCGGGGACUGAGAAGGUUGAUGGCCGACUGUUAGACGACGGAGUGAGGUGGCCUUGAGAAGGGCGGUGGGACUGGUAGACACCCGAGUGGGGUGGUCUUCAGAAAGUCUUAGCCGUCGUGAAGAUGCGGCG